GCCCUGGUUGUCUAGUGGUCUAGGAUCCGACCCUGUCGAGGUCGGGACCCGGGUUCAAAUCCCGGCUAGGGCG
rnacentral:tRNA from 1 species